rnacentral:lncRNA from 1 species
CUUCCCCACAGUUACUCAUCAGAGAGAGAUGUUUCACCCUGCACAUGCAAAGCAAGUAGACAAACACAGGUGCCAGAGGUGAAUUGCUGCAUCUGGCACUUCUCAUCUUCCCACUCAUCUCUGGGCACCUGUUACCAUCAUCUGUCCAGCAGAGAGAAGUCCCUCCAUCAGAGGAAUGGAAGGGAGGACAUACUAGAUGAAGGAGGAGCUCAGAGUAUUCGCUGUCCUUCCACCUCUACAGUCCUCUCUCUGUGGCCCUUUGUGUGGGAGUAGCUGCACAUUGUUGCAUCUG